UUGAAUGGGUGCGUCGUGUGUAGAACUAGAUGCUGCAGUUUGCAGCUGGUUUGAUUCAUGUCGUGGGUCACUUACCAAUGUAUGUAGGCCUAAUUGGCUAUGACCUUUGAAAUAGUUGAAAGUAAAUCCCAGUAGUAUCUAGUGAAACACACAUGCAAACGCCCUUCUGUCCCUCAUUCCCUCAAACUCGAUCUUCUACAUUUGUUGUGUAAAAAGGACAUAGCAAGUUUUUUGUAUCAAUGAUCACUUUAGGAUAUUCCAGUGCAUUUACAUUCAAUAUAUACUGUACCUUGAGUGAGGUAGAAAUGCAUAUUGUUGCAAAUAUAAAUACUGUUAAUUUGUUAUUUUUUGUAAUUAAUCAUUUACUGAAUUUCUUUGUAGAAUAUGUUACUAUUAUUUGGGUUUUUGUUCUCUGCAUAACUGUCUCUUUCACCUAUAUUAAUUCCUCAGCAUUCAAGAUGUUUGUAGGGUCCUCACCUCAGCUACCUCUCACAAGGUGCCCCUGAAAAAGAAAUUCAAGACGUUUGGGUCCUCAGCUCAACUGACCAAGACCUUUGCUCAUUGAAGGCAUGAAGUAAUUUGUGAUGCCCCCACGAUUGCAGUUUUUAAACGCAGAUGGCUUGCUCUUUUUAACAUGUGCGAGAGCUGGAUGGUCUUUCAACAACACUGCUCCGGGUCUUCAGCAAGAAAGGUGCUUCUCAUGCAAGGAAGAUACAGAGGAUCCUGGUGCCCAUGACUCAGGUAAAACAUGCACACUGCCAUGCAUCACAGUAAUGCUAAAAUUUCAAGAUCUAAUGUAAUGGGGAGAAGUAGGGUGUCUUGGAUCAUAUUGCAUUUCUCCCACUAAUUUCAAUCCUUCAGCCAGUUUUGAACUCAUUGUCUUCACCUCAGUUCUAACUACAGCUGGCUUUACACACAGCAGUCCUGGGCAAUGAUAUAACAGUCUUUUGCAGACUGACAACAUUGAUGUGAAGAGGGAGUGCAUGCUGAGGAGCUGACGGUCUACCUGAAUGAAGAGCCAGACAAAGUGGAUGUUGAUCUGGACGGUCCAGCUGAAACGUAUUGUCUUCGUGUGCGUGUGAUCGGCAGAGAGUCCUCAACGACAUUGGUAACGUACCUGUGGCCAUUGCAGUGUUUGUUUUGGUUUAUGCUCUUAAUCUCUGUUACCUUCCAGAAUGGAAGUACACUUUCAAAUUUCUGUUUCAUUCUAACCGUCUGUUUCAUCAGUUUUUGCACUGCUUUUAAAUGUACACUGUGUAAGAUUCUUAGUUGUUUAUUUCCAGAAUUCAUGCUACCCAUUCACUAAUGUUACCUUUUUCAUGAAUACUUAGCACCACCAUUAGGGUGCAUCAGUUGCCCCCUAUGAAAAGAUAUGGCCUUGGCCCUAUAGUAAAAAUGUUCUACACCCAGUAAAAACACACUGUGUAAAAUAUUUUGAAAUUUG